UGGCCACUUCUAAUUUUGCCUGGAUCGCAUGAGGCUGAUAACAAUCGCAGUUUUCCCACAGUCGCAUUUAAAAACCUCACUUCUUUGACCAGACUUUUGAUCACCAUUGUGUGUGUGUGUAGACAGAUUCGGCUUAUAUAAGGAUAUGAACAGCUUUGGACCUUGGUUGAUCAAACCCAUUUUGAUGAAUGAGGCCGCUGCUGUCCAGGCAGCAUUUAUUGCCUGUCCCUAAUUGCGCAGAGGGUAGAUAAGAGCCAACCGC